UACUUAUCCAGAAAGACGGAGGGACCGGACCCGAUGAUGUCUUGGCAACCAACCAGCCCAGGGGAAUGGUGCCAAUUUCCUCCCGCCAGCCAGCGGGGUAGAUAAGGU
rnacentral:ncRNA from 2 species